rfam:Peptococcaceae bacterium CEB3 CEB3_contig000038, whole genome shotgun sequence.
UUGAACUGUAUUUCCAAAUCAUAGGGUGCAAUUCCCUAGUACGUAGGAGAUUGGCUACGUAGAAAGACUGAGACUCCGACAUGCCCGACAAAAAGUGAAAGUGAUUCGGGUAUGAAGCUCGGUAAAGUCGGCGAAACAUCGGCCUGUGAAAUGGCUGGUAAAGUAGUCGGGUCGCCAUAAA